AGCUUUGUGCAGUGGCAGUAUUGUAGCCAAUGAGGUUUAUCUGAGGCGCAAUAAUUGCUCAUUGUUUUUAAGAUUUAGUUCACUUAUUCAUGAAAGAUGCAGAGAGGGGCAGAGACAU
ensembl:snRNA U4 U4 spliceosomal RNA